rnacentral:rRNA from 1 species
GACGAACGCUGGCGGCGUGCCUAACACAUGCAAAUCGAACGAAGUGGCGAACGGGUGAGUAACGCGUAAUCAACCUGCCCUUCAGAGGGGGACAACAGUUGGAAACGACUGCUACUACCGCAUACUGAAGGUGGGGAAUGCGGUGGACUAGCUAGUGGGAGGGGUAACGGCCCACAAAGGGGAUGAUCAGUAGGCGGUCUGAGAGGAUGAACGGGCACAAUGGGACUGAGACACGGCCCAGACUCCCACGGGAGGCAGCAGGGGGGAAACUUCCGAAAUGGAGGAAAGUCUGGCGGAGCAACGCCGCGUGAGUGAUGAAGGCCUUCGGGGUGUAAAGCUCUGUUAAUCGGGAAGCGGUACCGGAAGAGAAAGCAACGGCUAACUACGUGCCAGCAGCCGCGGUAAUAC